rnacentral:lncRNA from 1 species
GAAUCUCUGCUAACGAUUCUUUCACGCAGAUCCGUGCCCAUAUCAAAUUGGUUCUUGAUUUUGUAUCUAUGUCAAUUCCAACAAAGCCUCCACAUAAUUCCCGAUAGACCGGAAGGUGCUUUUUGACCAGACAUUUAACGGGAUACCAAAGGCUCUAACCUAUUUUUGAUCUGAGCGUGGCUUUGCCAUGUUAGACCCAGUCACCGACGACCACCAUUUAAGUGAUAACUUUCUUUAUUCCGAAACCACUCCCCUGCUUUAACUCUCUCGGCUUCCUGCUGUGAUGGCAGUUGAAAAAGGAAUUGAUUGUGAGUUAGACUUGUUACACUGAUUCUUGCUGUGACUUGCCAUCUCCUAACGAACUAGUUCCGUAACACCUAUGGUGAUGGUGAAGGACUGAAUGGGUUGUUGCGAGUACCAAUUAGGACAGUAGAUGAAAGAUUGAGUGCUGUUGCUUGCGUCUGGUAUGAUUUUGACUGUAUUAUCCUCCACCACAACUUUCCCACGGUAAAAGGUUUGUUGCAAUAUGUUCUCGGUCAUAUCGUUGUUAGGACAUUCCUUCACCACGGUUCUAUAGCGUUCCCAAAUUUCAUUUAGUGGCUCAUUUGGUUCUUGCUUGAAUGCCAAGAUUUCAUCCCUCAAAGUAGCCAUGUGCCAGGGUGAGAAGAAUUUGGCAAUAAACUUCUCUGCCAACUCAUCCCAAGUAUGGAUAGAAUGGUUCGGUAAGCGCUCUAGCCAAUCCAAAGCCUUUCCCCUUAGGGAGAAAGGAAAUAACCUCAAUUUCAAAGCGUCCUCGGACACAUUUAUUUGCUUACUUCCCCAACAAGCAUCUACGAAUCCCUUUUAAGUGCUUGUAUGCAUUUUGAUGAGGUGCUCCGGUGAAGUAGCCUCUUUGCUCAAGCAAGGUAAGCAUGACAUUUGUAAUUUGCAAAUUGCCCGCAUUAAUGCGAGGGGGGACAAUUGUACUUGCAUAGCCAUCAUUUAAUGCGACAUAUUGUUGAGCCGGUUAGCCAUGUGGAGGUGGUGGUGGUGGAGGCGGCGGAGGGUGGUUUUGGUUUUGCCCUCGACCACGGCGGUUUCCUUGAACCGGAGCCGCUUCUUCAUCUACCAUAUCUUCUUCAAUGGCCCCAAGAGGCAAAUCACCAAGGUCAUUGUUGUUCGCCAUUGGUAACCUAGAACAAGCACAUACGAAUCAAAGUAUCACGAAGUAAAGAUAAGAACUCAAGAAAACACACAAUUACAAAGUAACACAAGAACACCGUACUCCCCAGCAACGACGCCAAAUAUUGGUGACGUCCAAUCCUGCACCUGUAAAGGAAGUGUAGCACGAUCGUUAGCAAUAAUAAACCCAACAAAGGUUGGGGUCGAAUCCCACAAGGAGUAGGUGUGUGUUAGAGUGUCCAAAUGUGUAUAAACUUGAUAAUUCUUAAUGUAAUCUUCAAACAAAAGGUGGUUGUUCAAUUAAUUUAAAAGUUACUUCUAAAAUUACUAUGUAAACUAGUCUAGGAAUUUUAUCGAACACUUAGAAUACAAGUAAAGAUAUAGUUGUAACAAAUAAGAGAAUGCGCUAAGAUUGUUCCCCUUCGUGUAGGCUAUGCUUUUGGGUAUACAAAUAUUCAAUUCUAGUUAAUUAAGCAUGUAUUAUGACCUCAAUUUCUAUUCUACCAACUUAAUGUCUUCCAACACUUGAGGUUUUUACCUCAAGUUGCUCUUCCAAGUCAACUAAGGCUCAAUGAUAAGCAAUUGAUUAAUCCAAGUAGAAAUCACACUAUUCCUAGCUAGAUUUCAUUAAUCAAGUGAUUAACCCACUUAAUUCCUUGCUAAUUACCUUGUACCUAAGCAAAAUUCCACUUUUCCUAGAUAGAACAAGCAAAAUAGGCAUGUAUUUAGUGUUUGCAACCACAAUCAAUCGAUAAAGCAUGGAAUAAUUAGAUAACACAAAGCUUGAUCAAACUUGAGAGUAAAAUUAAUAACCCAAAAACAUCACCACACUUAGGUUUCACAAUCCUAGCUUAAUAAACUUAGCUAGACAUAUUAAAGAAGGAAAAUACAAAAAGAGAUGGAAAUCUAAGCAUAAUAGCUAAAGAGGAAAGAAAGAUUGUGUAAAACAAUGGUGACGUCACCCAAAAUCCCAAAGAGGAAAUCCCAAAAGAUGCUACAUAAUUAUUCUUCCAAAAAGAUCCCCUAGAGUGACUUAAAAUAACUAUUUAUACCAAGUCCCACAAGUAGACAAAAUUGCCCUUCGGAUGGCAUAGCUACGCAAAAGGUGGUGCGUAGCUACGCCCAACAACUCUCUCUUGUAAUGCUUCAGGUCUUCAGUUGAUGUAGGUAAGGAGCGUAGCUACGCAUGGCAACAUAGCUAAUUCCAGAACACUAUAAAAUCUUCAGCUUCUAAUGCCUCAGUAGCGUAGCUACGCACAUCUUCCGCUUUUCUUUAUCGCUGAAUACAUAUGUAGCCCUUCAAACUUGUCCCAUAUUUCCACCUAGACACUUAAACUAAAGCUUGUAUCUAUUGGCAGUGUUAUCAAAGACGAAAAGCGCAAAAAAGCUCCACGGCCCAUUGGGGCUUUAAGCGCAAAGGGCAAAUAAAGCGCGGACUUUAAUGAAAAAAGGCGCAACUGGAGCAAAAAGUAAAAAUAUGUAUAUGUAGUCCAAGACCAAUAAUUAUAAGCAUGAACAACAAAUAUAUGGACAAAAAAAGUUGAAGAAAAAAUAACGAUAAAGUGAAAUAUCAAUUGUUCAGUGUCGCAUUUUCAGGAUUAUACUCAUGGGCAAGGAAAGUAUGCUUUAGAGCCUUGAUGCGACACUGAAGCGCCCGCAAAGCGAGGCGAAACGCUCAACAUGUUUUGAGCCUCGCUUUAGGGCUUAAGCGAGCCUUUGACAACACUGCCUAUGGGACACUUAAUCUCUAUUGAAACUGUCUUAUUAGGCAUAAUUUGCUGAGGUGGCACAAUACGUGCAUAACACAGAUUUUUGGAGUGUGGAAUGCCAUACCUUUUAAUUUUUUGAUUUUUUUUCUUGUCACCCCUCCCUUCGCCGCCGCCAUCAUCACAUACCAUUAGCACCACUACCUUCACCCAAUAUCAAACACUACCCUAAUCCUUCUACCUAGUCUCUAUCCUCUCUACCUUAGCAGGCGACUGCAGUGGCAGCACUGAAGCACUACAUGAGAACCUUUAACGGAGCCAUCGCCAAAUACCGACAAUAGCUGACUGCAACUGGAUAAGGACAAUAAAAUUUUUCCGAAUAUAUAGGUCCCCAAGCCUUCCAAAAUCAGCACAUAUCUCGAUUUCCAAGCAAGACAAAGCUCCAAUCAAUUUUCCCAGCUUCAAUUUAAUUUCUGAAUGAAUUUCCACCAUUAGAAUCUUCAACUCGAAUUCCCAACACUGAAGGUUUUUUUUCCUUGAAAAAUUUCACCUCCAAAUUCAUAACCACAAUGUUACAACUCGAAAUUCUAUCUCAGUAACGUUUCAGAUCAAUUUUCUAGUCAAACGGUAAUCCGAGGCUUAAAAUCAAACUUGGAACCAUGACUUAAACAAGAUUAACGGAAGGAAAGCUACCAAAAUAAUCGUGUACUCUUUUUUGUUAUGAUAUUUGAAAAUGAAAGACAGAGAGAAAUUUGAUGGUGUUGUGUGGAUUUUGAAGGUGCAGCUCAGUGGGUGUCUACAAUGGAGGAGUUCGGUGGCGUGAAGAAGGAGACGGUGGUCUCCAUGUUUUUCUUCUUUUUUUCCUUUUUUCUUUCUGAUGUGUCCUUCAGUGAUUGGUGAUUUUCUCCAUAUCAUCGGCGUGUGAUCCACACAUUUUAUAUCUUUAGUUUAUUGUUUGCAAGGUGUUUAAUAGGUACAAUUUUAAUAGAGAUCAAGUGCCUAAUAAGUACAAGUCUUAGUAUAAGUGUCUAGGUGGAAAUAUGAGACAAGUUUGAGGGGAUCUGUAUGUAUUCAACCUUUCUUUAUUUUCAUUCUUUUAACACUUUUAAACUUCCAUUCACCAUUCUCAUGCAUGUUUUUGAUACUUUUCUUUUCCUCUUGGCUCUUUAAUCACUUCACACCCUGUAACUUCAUCAUUUAAAGCAUAAUUAAUCAAUUAAUUCCAACAAACAGAGCAUAAAACUCUAUCAAAACACUAGAAAAAUUAGUUGAAAUGCUAACUUAUCAAACAUCAACUACUACUUCCUCCCUCC